rnacentral:piRNA from 1 species
CUCCACUGUGGAGAAUGCCAUCGGGGAAAC